CCUACGGGCGGCUGCAGUGGGGAAUUUUGGACAAUGGGCGCAAGCCUGAUCCAGCCAUUCCGCGUGAGUGACGAAGGCCUUCGGGUUGUAAAGCUCUUUCGCAAGGGAAGAAAACUUAUCCUCUAACAUAGGAUGAGGUUGACGGUACCUUGAUAAGAAGCACCGGCUAACUACGUGCCAGCAGCCGCGGUAAUACGUAGGGUGCGAGCGUUAAUCGGAAUUACUGGGGGUAAAGCGUGCACUGGGUGUUGAAAUCCCCGAGAUCAACUGGGGAACUGCGUGUGAAAAUACAAGACUAGAAUAGGUCAGAGGGGGGUAGAAUUCCACGUGUAGCAGUGAAAUGCGUAGAGAUGUGGAGGAAUAUCAAUGGCGAAGGCAGCCCCCUGGGAUCAUAUUGACGCUCAUGCACGAAAGCGUGGGGAGCAAACAGGAUUAGAUACCCUUGUAGUC
rnacentral:rRNA from 1 species